GCAUGUGUGGCUGAGUGGUUGAAAGCAGUCGACUCAUAAUCGACCUUCCCUUGUGGACACCGCCGGUUCGAAUCCGGCCGCAUGUA
rnacentral:tRNA from 1 species